CGUGCUUAACACAUGCAAGUCGAACGGUGAAGGAGAGCUUGCUCUUUGGAUCAGUGGCGAACGGGUGAGUAACACGUGAGUAACCUGCCCUUGACUCUGGGAUAAGCACUGGAAACGGUGUCUAAUACCGGAUACGAACCUCCUCCGCAUGGUGAGGGGUUGGAAAGAAUUUCGGUCAAGGAUGGACUCGCGGCCUAUCAGCUAGUUGGUGAGGUAAUGGCUCACCAAGGCGACGACGGGUAGCCGGCCUGAGAGGGUGACCGGCCACACUGGGACUGAGACACGGCCCAGACUCCUACGGGAGGCAGCAGUGGGGAAUAUUGCACAAUGGGCGCAAGCCUGAUGCAGCAACGCCGCGUGAGGGACGACGGCCUUCGGGUUGUAAACCUCUUUUAGUAGGGAAGAAGCGAAAGUGACGGUACCUGCAGAAAAAGCACCGGCUAACUACGUGCCAGCAGCCGCGGUAAUACGUAGGGUGCAAGCGUUAUCCGGAAUUAUUGGGCGUAAAGAGCUCGUAGGCGGUUUGUCGCGUCUGCUGUGAAAACUGGAGGCUCAACCUCCAGCCUGCAGUGGGUACGGGCAGACUAGAGUGCGGUAGGGGAGAUUGGAAUUCCUGGUGUAGCGGUGGAAUGCGCAGAUAUCAGGAGG
rnacentral:rRNA from 1 species